rnacentral:rRNA from 1 species
CAGUAGCCGCGGUAAUACGUAGGGGGCGAGCGUUGUCCGGAAUUAUUGGGCGUAAAGCGCGUGUAGGCGGCUCAGCAAGUCCGCUCUGAAAGCCCAGGGCUCAACCCUGGGAUGCGGGUGGAUACUGCUGAGCUCGAGUCCGGAAGAGGCGAGUGGAAUUCCUGGUGUAGCGGUGAAAUGCGCAGAUAUCAGGAGGAACACCAAUGGCGAAGGCAGCUCGCUGGGACGUGACUGACGCUGAGACGCGAAAGCGUGGGGAGCAAACAGGAUUAGAUACCCCCGUAGUCCCUGUCUCUUAUAC